rnacentral:sRNA from 1 species
ACGAAAUCACUCUAUGCUCUAUUCUUACAUCUGUAAGACAUUUCCAGAAAUAAAGAUAUUUUUUUUUACCAUUAGAGUAUUCUAAUAUUUUAAGUAUGCUAUCAUAUAUUUAUGAUUGCAAUGAUGACACUCAAAGUGCAUUCAGUUAAAGAGAGGUCCAUUGUUAGGAGCUUUGAAACUUCUUGUGAAACAUGUACCAGCUGGAAAUUUGACAGUUCAGAGGGUGGAGUGGUCUUUUUAAUGAAGUGGAGUUAGUUUCCUUGAUCAUACAUAAUUUCCUAGUCUUCUAAAGUACAGCAGUCCUAUACUAUAGUUUUCUGGGGAUCACCUGACCCUAUUGAAAACCACUGAUGUAGUCAUACCUAUACAUCUGAGAUUUGCAAAGUUACUGGGUCUAGUCACAGUAGACAUGAUUAAUGGCAUCUCCAUCUUCAUUUGUAUGAAGAAGAUUACACUAGUUUCUGUUAUAUCUCACAUACUUUUAAUUGACUACAAACAUAUCAAUUAAUACUAACAACUGUGUAUUCCUAUAUUUUAAUUGGUUUAUUUAUUCAUAUUAUAUAUAGUUUGUAGUGAAUGGGCAAUAUCCAAUGUGCAAAAAGUGUUGAACAGUUGGAAACUGUGUGAAUAUCAUACUUGUGUGUGUAGUUGAGUUUUAGACAUAGGAUUGCGUUUCGACAUCUUUAUUUGUAGUACCGGUUACUCAUUUUUGUGAUCAAUCUUUGGGUGUCCUGUUUUAUAUUCUACCUAACUUAUGUAGAAAAAAAGGGUAUGCAUAAGUCAAUAAUGUCUGUAAUGGCCAUUUGUCUUUAUAAUGACGUUGAUAUAAUCAUCUGGUUCAUCUCCACACAUUUCAUACCUCACUGUGUAUACAGUACAUUUAUUAGAGAUCUAUCAUGACAGAAAACAACAGAGUUUUAAUUGUUUGUUUAACAGAUUUUAUUUUUUGAAGUUGUUAUAUGUGUAGUUAUCAUCAUUAAUCACAAGAAGUCGUAUAUCGAUUUAUCCUGAAACAUUUUAUAUUCAUUAUUCAUUGGAUAUUUAAGACUGUUAUAUUGUGAUGAAAAUUUUUAAAAAAUCUACUUAAUCUAUAGACAGCGUGAAUGAUUGAAAGCAGCAGAUCUGAAAAUGUUGAGAUUUUUCUACAGAGAUCACCAUCUUAUUGUUAGAUUUAUUUAUUUUUCAAUUGUGUGAUAAUAUAGCUUGUUAUCUCCGAUUAGAAAAUAAAAUAAAAUUUAUUUUC